UGAAUAGCGAUAGCUAAUUGUGCAAUAAAAUUGUGCAAUAUCAACUACGUUGAAUAAAGUUCUGGGUAUAAUUUGAUAAUGACAUUUUAUAUCCAUAUGUCUUGACUAAACUACGUGCCAGCAGUCGCGGUAAUACGUAGAAGACUAGUGUUAUUCAUCUUUAAUAGGUUUAAAGGGUACUUAGACAGUAAAUUAAGCUUUAAUCAGAACUAAUUUGCUAGAGUUAUCUGUGAGGAAGUAUAAAAGUACUAUUGGUGUAAAGAUAAAAUUUUGCAAUACCUCUUUUCAAAAGAAAAAAAAUGGCACAGGUAAAGGCGAAGGCAUCUCUCGAUGUAAUAACUGACGUUGAAGUACGAAGGCUUUGCGUAGCGAACAGGAUUAGAUACCCUAGUAGUCAAAGCAGAAAAUGAUGAGUGUCAUAUAUUAGAUAUAUAUUUGGUAUAUAAAUGAAAAUGUAAGCACUCCACCUUAUGAGUAAAGUGGCAACACCGGAAUUGAAAUCAUUAGACCGUUUCUGAAACCAGUAGUGAAGUAUGUUGUUUAAUUUGUUAACCCUCAAAAAACCUUACCACAACUUGAAUAUUUUUAUAUUUUUAUACAAGCGUUGCACGGCUGUUUUUAGUUAAUGUCGUGAGGCUUGGUUAUAUCCAUUAAAUUAACGCAAACCCUUGCUUUAUUUCCAAAUAAUGCAGCUUAUCCAUCACACCGGAUAUAAUAGAAGACUAAGACAAGUCAUCAU
rnacentral:rRNA from 1 species